AACAUCUUAUUUUUGUUUUACAAUGGUCAGUUGUCUUCUAGUGAGAAACCGCAAUGACAGAUCAUUAGAUUAUGUUAACACGACACAGCAGCAAAUUCCGUCGUUGUAUGAAGGAGUCGACAAUCGUUUAGAUGUGCAUAACUAUGAACAACUCGCUAGAAGGGAAGAUUUGUACAAUAAUGCAAACUAGACCAGACUUAUUGAUUAAGAAAAGACACUGUGAUAGUCGUUCGGUAUACUGAAUAUAAUAUUAGCAUUAAUUAUAAUGCUUUGGAGAAAUACAUGACACCUCUUAUCUAGGGCAAGACUCGUUUUUGACUUCUAUAAGUGCACAAGUGUCAUAUGUUUGCGUUUACAUGUACAUGGGGUUCUUGUAAGUAUGUGAAUGUUCCAAUAUGUUCUGGAUUCUUUAUAAUUUAUUGGCUGAAGUUUACGUGUAUAAAAUAAUUAUCAUACAAUUGCAC
rnacentral:lncRNA from 1 species